rnacentral:rRNA from 1 species
UACGGAGGGUGCAAGUGUUAUUCGGAAUCACUGGGCGUAAAGAGCACGUAGGCGGAUAGGCAAGUCAGAUGUGAAAUCCCGGAGCUCAACUACGGAACUGCAUUUGAUACUGCCUGUCUUGAGUGAGGUAGAGGGGAGUGGAAUUCCCGGUGUAGAGGUGAAAUUCGUAGAUAUCGGGAGGAACACCAGAGGCGAAGGCGACUCCCUGGGCCUCUACUGACGCUGAGGUGCGAAAGCGUGGGGAGCAAACAGGAUUAGAUACCCGGGUA